UCUACGGCCAUACCACCCUGAACGCGGCCGAUCUCGUCUGAUCUCGGAAGCUAAGCAGGGUCGGGCCUGGUUAGUACUUGGAUGGGAGAACCUGCCCGAAGGGCCCGUUGGGAACAGGGAGCCGACAGAU
rnacentral:rRNA from 1 species